CGACGUACAAUAAUCCCUCGGAUCUAGCCAGGUCGUCCGGGUACGAGCCAUCCGGGGAGAUCGAACGCCCAUGGCAAGCCACCUGGCAACGGACGGUUAGGAGGCUCUAUUCACCCUUAGAGAACCCAGGGAGGUGUUGAUGCGAAGCAUCCUACGGACAUAACCAUGUCAAAAGUUCGUUUGGCAAGUGACAUGUGCCACAUCUACUUCACUUACAUGAAGGUGAAUCAUCUCCUUUAUACGUGUUCACUUGUGCCGUUCUAGAAUGGUAUACUACUUGACCCCUCUCUCAUGUGCAUACAUAGGUGUUUGCGAAACUACACAUUCAUCGAGGAGGAGUCCAAGCUCAAGAGAAUAUCCACACCAUCCAAGAGGGAAGCCUGAAAGCGCAGAAGGAACCACCAAGAAGGCAACAGCUCCCAGGUGACCCCGUGCGCACGGGCCUCCCAGCUGGCUGCACGGUCCUAAAGACCCCGUGCGCAUGGGCGUGUACCGUUCCCGGCCUCACAGACCCCGUGCGCACGGGCUACUGCGUCAGGUCGCGAGACCCCGUGCUCACGGGAUCCACUUACCCCAUGCACACGGGGCCCCCUAUGUGUAGCUGCGGGCUUUGCCCAUGUAAUGUCCAUUUCGUCCCUGCUUAACCCUUGAUCCCCUAGGACUAUAUAUACUCCUUCAUCUCCUCCAUUUAGACUUAGCUAAGAAUAGAUCUAGACAUUAGAGCUUAGCUCGUGUACCUCCCCUUGUGGGAUUCCUCUUGAGAGAGAGAAGAUCCCUACUGGAUAUGAAGACCCCAUCUAGGGAAGGAUCUAUCUAGAUCAUCAAGACCUCAUCUCCUUCAUAGGAUUUGGGAUGAACUUUACCAUCUCUACGGAUGGUGUUACUUCCACCGCCAGGGGCUUCUUGGUUUGAUGACAACACUCACAAACUUAGUGUGAUGCGUGAGAUGAAUUUCAACUAGGAAUUACAUUUUGUACUGUCAAACUUAGUGGAUGAUAUUUCUGCUCU